rnacentral:lncRNA from 1 species
UAUUAUGCGCAUGUGGCUGUAGAUGCAAAUGCAUGGACAACUGCUUCAAAGUGGAGUAUAUAAAUAGAAAACUGUGCUAUGCGUUACAUACCAAAAGAAAUGAACUUUUGAAAGCUCUACCGUCAAACAAACGAAAGGGCCAUUGAAUGUAGCCAGCAUUCACCCCACGGGCGUAGAUUUUUACUUUUUUGUUUACCAAAGACCCC